UAUAAGAUGUCAGACAUUCCAAUAUAUAAAAUGGGGCGAGAUUAUUUAAGGCUUUAUAAACCAUAAGCAGAAUUUUAAAGUCAAUCCUGAAUGACACAGGUAACCAGUGUAGUGACAUCAAAACUGGAGAAAUGUGCUCGGAUUUUCUUUUCCUAGUUAGGAUUCUAGCAGCUGCAUUCUGCACUAGUUGCAAACGAUUUAUGUCUUUUUUGGGUAGUCC